rnacentral:rRNA from 1 species
GGUCCGAACCCACGAGCGUUGAAAAGCUCGGGGAUGACUUGUGGGUAGCGGUGAAAUUCCAAUCGAGCCCGGAGAUAGCUGGUUCUCCCCGAAAUAGCUUUAGGGCUAGCCUCAAGGUGAGAGAUACGGAGGUAGAGCACUGAAUGUCCUAGGGGGUAUUGCACCUACCGAAGACUAUCAAACUCCGAAUGCCGUCAUCUUAUACUUGGGAGUCAGACUGUGGGUGAUAAGAUUCAUAGUCGAAAGGGCAACAGCCCAGAUCGUCAGCUAAGGUCCCUAAAUGUAAGUUAAGUGGUAAAGGAUGUGGGAUUGCACAGACAACCAGGAUGUUGGCUUAGAAGCAGCCACUCAUUCAAAGAGUGCGUAAUAGCUCACUGGUCGAGUGAUCCUGCGCCGAAGAUUUCCGGGGCUAAAACUUACUACCGAAGCUACGGCAUCAGUAAUGAUGGGUAGGGGAGCUUCCCAUACGGGUUGAAGCAUGACCGUAAGGACAUGUGGACAGUAUGGGAGUGAGAAUGUUGGCAUGAGUAGCGAGAUGUGGGUGAGAAUCCCACAGGCCGUAAACCCAAGGUUUCCAGGGGAAGGUUCGGCCGCCCUGGGUUAGUCGGGACCUAAGCUGAGGCCGAAAGGCGUAGGUGAUGGACAACAGGUUGAUAUUCCUGUACUACCGAUAACCGUUUGAGAGAAGGGAUGACACAGUAGGAUAAGCUAAGCACACUGUUGGUUAUGUGUGCCCAAGCAUUGAGGCAGUCAAAGUAGGCAAAUCCGCUUUGAUAAUGCUGGGAUGUGAUGGGGAGCGAAAUUUAGUAGCGAA